rnacentral:rRNA from 1 species
UGCCAGCAGCCGCGGUAAUACGGAGGGUGCGAGCGUUAAUCGGAAUUACUGGGCGUAAAGCGCGCGUAGGCGGCUUCGUCAGUCAGAUGUGAAAGCCCCGGGCUCAACCUCGGAACUGCAUUCGAUACUGCCUCACUAGAGUAUGGUAGAGGGAAGUGGAAUUCCGGGUGUAGCGGUGAAAUGCGUAGAUAUCCGGAGGAACAUCAGUGGCGAAGGCGACUUCCUGGCCCAAUACUGACGCUGAGGUGCGAAAGCGUGGGGAGCAAACAGGAUUAGAUA